AUUGAACGCUGGCGGCAUGCCUUACACAUGCAAGUCGAACGGCAGCACGGGAGCAAUCCUGGUGGCGAGUGGCGAACGGGUGAGUAAUGUAUCGGAACGUGCCCAGUCGUGGGGGAUAACGUAGCGAAAGCUACGCUAAUACCGCAUACGAUCUAUGGAUGAAAGCGGGGAACCGUAAGGCCUCGCGCGAUUGGCGCGGCAGAGAGCAGAUUAGGUAGUUGGUGGGGUAAAGGCCUACCAAGCCGACGAUCUGUAGCUGGUCUGAGAGGACGACCAGCCACACUGGGACUGAGACACGGCCCAGACUCCUACGGGAGGCAGCAGUGGGGAAUUUUGGACAAUGGGCGCAAGCCUGAUCCAGCAAUGCCGCGUGCAGGAUGAAGGCCUUCGGGUUGUAAACUGCUUUUGUACGGAGCGAAAAGGCUCUCUCUAAUACAGGGGGCUCAUGACGGUACCGUAAGAAUAAGCACCGGCUAACUACGUGCCAGCCGCCGCAGUAAAAC
rnacentral:rRNA from 1 species